rnacentral:sRNA from 1 species
UUAGUUCAUAGAUGAAGAAAGUAAGGCGCAGACACAGGGAGUGGCUUGUCCAGGGGUCGUGCAGCUGCACGGUGGCUGAGUAGGGACUUGAACCGGUGGCUUCUCUGAUAUGCCCCCCUCAACUCUCUCCGACUCUGGAGCUCUGUUGGGAAGCUGGCAGGAGCCAGGUCUGUGGUCCAAAAUUGCCUCUCGAUACUGGAAGGAGAGAAGCGGUCGAAUCGCAGACGGUGGAGAUCAGCGAGAGCAAGCGAGCAGAGUUCCGAGGGCCGACUGGGUUGGGGCCCCCUCCACAGAUGGACGAGCUUGGAGGGGAAGAGGUCACGUCAUGGUUGGAGAUCUCACCCCCGCCAACACCGAAGGAGGGCGGUGACCAGGGUCUUAGACCGGUGUGAAAACUGAAUUCCCAGCUGAGGCAGAGGCGGCUCACGGGUGUUGAUGCGUCUUCACUUUUGCCCCUAGGGUAAGGUGGCUUUUCGUUGCCUGGACCCGGUACCGCACCCUAUCAACUUCGGAGGCCCUCACAACUUCGUUCAAGUGCCCGGUUUCCCACGCCGUGGCCGCCUGGCAGUCUCAUUUCGCUUCCGCACCUGGGACCUCACCGGGCUUCUCCUUUUCUCCCGUCUGGGGGACGGGCUGGGCCACGUGGAGCUGACGCUCAGCGAAGGGCAGGUCAACGUGUCCAUCGCGCAGAGCGGCCGAAAGAAGCUUCAGUUCGCUGCUGGGUACCGACUGAAUGACGGCUUUUGGCACGAGGUGAAUUUUGUGGCACAGGAAAACCAUGCAGUUAUCAGCAUUGAUGAUGUGGAAGGGGCAGAGGUCAGGGUCUCAUACCCGUUGC